AGCAGUAGCCGCGGGAAUACGUAGGGUGCAAGCGUUAAUCGGAAUUACUGGGCGUAAAGAGUGCGCAGGCGGUUCGUUAAGACAGAUGUGAAAUCCCCGGGCUUAACCUGGGAACUGCAUUUGUGACUGGCGGGCUAGAGUAUGGCAGAGGGGGGUAGAAUUCCACGUGUAGUAGUGAAAUGCGUAGAGAUGUGGAGGAAUACCGAUGGCGAAGGCAGCCCCCUGGGAUAACACUGACGUUCAUGCUCGAAAGCGUGGGUAGCAAACAGGAUUAGAUACCCGCGUAGUCCCUGUCUCUUAUAC
rnacentral:rRNA from 1 species